AAUCCUAGUGGCGAACGGGUGAGAACGCGUUGGUGACCUGCCCCAAAGUGUGGGAUAACAGUCCGAAAGGAUUGCUAAUACCGCAUGUGGUCAUUGGAUUUAGAAACCGAUGACUAAAGGAGUAAUCCGCUUUGGGAGGGACCUGCGUCCCAUCAGCUAGUUGGUGAGGUAAUGGCUCACCAAGGCUACGACGUGUAGGGGACCUGAGAGGGUGGCCCCCCACAAUGGAACUGAAACACGGUCCAU
rnacentral:rRNA from 1 species